rnacentral:rRNA from 1 species
GAUUGAACGCUGGCGGCAUGCCUUACACAUGCAAGUCGAACGGCAGCACGGGAGCAAUCCUGGUGGCGAGUGGCGAACGGGUGAGUAAUACAUCGGAACGUGCCCAGUCGUGGGGGAUAACUACUCGAAAGAGUAGCUAAUACCGCAUACGACCUGAGGGUGAAAGCGGGGGAUCGCAAGACCUCGCGCGAUUGGAGCGGCCGAUGUCAGAUUAGCUAGUUGGCGGGGUAAAGGCCUACCAAGGCUACGAUCUGUAGUUGGUCUGAGAGGACGACCAGCCACACUGGGACUGAGACACGGCCCAGACUCCUACGGGAGGCAGCAGUGGGGAAUUUUGGACAAUGGGCGCAAGCCUGAUCCAGCAAUGCCGCGUGCAGGAAGAAGGCCUUCGGGUUGUAAACUGCUUUUGUCAGGGAAGAAAUCCUCUGGGUUAAUACCUCGGGGGGAUGACGGUACCUGAAGAAUAAGCACCGGCUAACUACGUGCCAGCAGCCGCGGUAAUACGUAGGGUGCGAGCGUUAAUCGGAAUUACUGGGCGCAAAGCGUG